UAAUGCCUCUUCAUACUGCUUGGAAAAAUCUAGUAGUUUUAGACAUUGUGAAUGUCAAACUGCCUGAAGUUCAUGCCAUUUACUCCAGUAAUAUGAUAUAGGGAAAAUACACAAAAACAGAGGAUGUGUACUUCUGGCUGUUUGACAGACCAGGUGCUCUUUUGGACUCUGCCUUGGCAUCACCAUUAGACCCUGAGCAGGGUGGAUGGCUGGGUGUGUAAGAGGUAGUGGAAGGCUCUGAGGACCACUCCUCUACUCCACUCACCCUAGGUGAGUGAUGUCCAAGCUCAGAGUAAUAAGCCAGAAGGUUUACGUUAUCUUGAAGGUGGACGCCUAUCUGAGCACUAAGGUCAGGAUUCCAGCAUUGAGGUAGGGAGCUGACCCUAUGACUCCUCUAGUGAGCUAGGGCCCUUGAGAGGGGCUAAAGUGGCCCAAGGUCAGCAGACCCCUAGCCCUUGGCUCCCAGUAGAAGCAGACUCACAUCCUCUCUGAGGAACAUGUACUCAGUUCAGGCCUCAGUUUAGGAUUAAGAUCAAGCAAUAAGCUCUCAAUCAAAGAUCACCAAGCACACAAGAAGGAAUGGGAGUCAACAGAAGAAAUGGCCACAGAUUUAGACCUCCAACGACUGAAGACAGUGGAAUUGUCAGACAAGAAUAUUGAUUAGCUCUAUGUGGAAUGUUUAAAGAAAUAAGUGAUGGAAUGCAGUGAUGAGCAAGCAACAAGAGACUGUUAAGAAUGACCAAGCUGAUUUGAAAGAGAACCAAAUUGAACUGCUGGAUACAACACAGUUUGAAGAUAGAAUAAAUGAACUGGAAGAUCUAUCUCAAGAAAUUACCCAGAGUGUCGCACAGAGAAAUAAGAAAACAGAAAAUAUGAGAUAUAAGGUAAGAGAUAUGAAGGACAGAAUGACAAGGUCAAAUACACAUCUAAUUAAAGUCUCAGAGAGAGAAAACAGAGAAAACAGAGAAAAAGCCAUAUUUGCAGAGAAAUGGCUGAGAAUUUUACAGAACUGAUAAAAGACAAAAAUCCAUGAUUCAAGAAGCACAAGAUAGCUCAAGCAAAAUUAAAGUAAAUCUGCACAUAGAUAAGUAAUAGUGAACUGCAGAGUACUGGCAACAAAGAUAUUAAAAGCAGUCAGAGAGAAAAGACAGUUCAUCUACAAACAAAUGAAAAACAUUGGCUGAUUUUUUAACAAUUAAUAAUGGAAGCCAGACAAAUGAUGUCUUUAAGGGGCUAUCAGACCAUAAUUAUCAACCUAGAACUGGGGAGCUAUCAAACUAUCUUUCAAAAAUUAUAAUGAAAAAGGCAAUUUAAGAUAAAGAGCAGAUUGAUAACAAAGGAACUACCAAAUAUAUACUUUAGGAUGCAGGACACAGACACCAGGACAGUCUGAGAUGCAGAUAAAAUGGAGAAAACAUAUAUAAAUCAAAAUAAAUGUUUAUAUAAUAUCAACAAGGGAUGAAAAUCAGGAUAAUCAUGCCAAAUGGAUACCCUGCUGUGUCUGUUUCUGCCCAGAGAUCAGAGUGGACAAUUAAUCCCCAGCAUCACCCAGGGGGAGCUAUUUAAUGUGGGUUGCUGAGCAGAGAACAAAAGAACAGGGUCUGUUUGAGAAGAUAAAUCUUAAGAAGCAGAGCCAGGAGGAAGAGGACGGAUGGUGUCCAUGUGCGGCCCACUGACAGCUGUCGGUCUUCAAACGUCUUCCUCCCCGUGAGGGUGAUCUGCGGCGUGGACUUUGCUGUCCAUCUUUCCCUGCCUGAGCGGACCACAGCCUGGUGCCUCGUGCCCUUCCAGCUCAAGAUGAGCAAAUGGAGAUAAAGAAAGGUAAAAUAACUUGCCUCAAACCACUCAGUCAGUGGGUGGCAAGGCCGGAUUCAAGGCCAGCAGUCGAUUUUCAUGGUCUCUGCUCUUAACCAGCACCCCUCCUGGGCAACUGCAAGCUGUGUAGCGAGUGUUC